UGAUGGCCAUAUCAUGUUGAAACACCAGUUCCUGUACAAUCACCAAAGUUAAGCAACAUUGAACCUGGUCAGUACUUAGAUGGGUAACCACCUUGGGAAUACUAGGUGGAUGU